AAGUCUGGUGCCAGCAGCUGCGGUAAUUCCAGCUCCAAUAGCGUAUAUUAAAAUUGUUGCGUCUAAAAAGCUCGUAGUUUGAAAACUUGCCUUGGCUUACAAUAGGCCCUUAUGGGUCACCGUUUGUUAAGAGCAAAUAUCGAUGACUGUUUUUGCUGACUUAAUUGUUUGGCUUAUAAGAGUUAUCAAAUAUCACUUUGAUUAAAUUAGAGUGCUUAAAGCAAGUGUUUUACUUGAAUAUAAAUGCAUGGAAUGAUGGAAUAUGUUGUUGUUCUAUUUGUUGGUUUUUGAACGAUGAAAUGAUUGAAAGGAACUGUUGGGGGCAUUCGUAUUGUUGUGAGAGAGGUGAAAUUCUUAGACCACAGCAAGACGAACUACUGCGAAAGCAUUUGCCAAGAAUGUUUUCAUUGAUCAAGAACGAAAGUUAGAGGUUCGAAGGCGAUCAGAUACCGCUCUAGUUCUAACCAUAA
rnacentral:rRNA from 1 species